UAGAAAGGUUCUUGUGACUGUAGGAGUC
rnacentral:piRNA from 1 species